UACAGUCCGCAUCAAGGUC
rnacentral:snRNA from 1 species